GCUUCCAGGAUCCUGAGAUCCGGAGCAGCCGGGGUCGGAGCGGUUUGUAAUGUAUUGCUGGAUUUUAUUUUGCUGUAUUAGCUCCUCAAGAGUUACUGAUCUAUGAAAUGGCAGAGAAUGGAAAAAAUUGUGACCAGAGACGUGUAGCAAUGAACAAGGAACAUCAUAAUGGAAAUUUCACAGACCCCUCUUCAGUGAAUGAAAAGAAGAGGAGGGAGCGGGAAGAAAGGCAGAAUAUUGUCCUGUGGAGACAGCCGCUCAUUACCUUGCAGUAUUUUUCUCUGGAAAUCCUUGUAAUCUUGAAGGAAUGGACCUCAAAAUUAUGGCAUCGUCAAAGCAUU
rnacentral:lncRNA from 1 species